rnacentral:rRNA from 1 species
GACGAACGCUGGCGGCGUGCUUAACACAUGCAAGUCGAACGAAGAGCGAUGGAAGCUUGCUUCUAUCAAUCUUAGUGGCGAACGGGUGAGUAACGCGUAAUCAACCUGCCCUUCAGAGGGGGACAACAGUUGGAAACGACUGCUAAUACCGCAUACGAUCUAAUCUCGGCAUCGAGGAUAGAUGAAAGGUGGCCUCUACAUGUAAGCUAUCACUGAAGGAGGGGAUUGCGUCUGAUUAGCUAGUUGGAGGGGUAACGGCCCACCAAGGCGAUGAUCAGUAGCCGGUCUGAGAGGAUGAACGGCCACAUUGGGACUGAGACACGGCCCAGACUCCUACGGGAGGCAGCAGUGGGGAAUCUUCCGCAAUGGACGAAAGUCUGACGGAGCAACGCCGCGUGAGUGAUGACGGCCUUCGGGUUGUAAAGCUCUGUUAAUCGGGACGAAAGGCCUUCUUGCGAAUAGUGAGAAGGAUUGACGGUACCGGAAAUAGAAAGCCACG